rnacentral:rRNA from 1 species
GAUGAACGCUAGCGGCAGGCUUAAUACAUGCAAGUCGAGGGGUAGCAAGAUUGUAGCAAUACAAUUGUUGACGACCGGCAAACGGGUGCGGAACACGUACACAACCUUCCUACAAGUGGGGAAUAGCCCAGAGAAAUUUGGAUUAAUACCCCGUAACAUAGCGAUGUGGCAUCACAUUGCUAUUAUAGCUUCGGCGCUUGUUGAUGGGUGUGCGGCUGAUUAGAUAGUUGGCGGGGUAACGGCCCCACAAGUCUACGAUCAGUAGCUGAUGUGAGAGCAUGAUCAGCCACACGGGCACUGAGACACGGGCCCGACUCCUACGGGAGGCAGCAGUAAGGAAUAUUGGACAAUGGACGCAAGUCUGAUCCAGCCAUGCCGCGUGAAGGAUUAAGGUCCUCUGGAUUGUAAACUUCUUUUAUAAGGGACGAAAAAAGGUCUUUCUAGAUCGUCUGACGGUACCUUAUGAAUAAGCACCGGCUAACUCCGUGCCAGCAGCCGCGGUAAUAC